AGUGAACGCUGGCGGUAGGCCUAACACAUGCAAGUCGAACGGCAGCACAGUAAGAGCUUGCUCUUACGGGUGGCGAGUGGCGGACGGGUGAGGAAUACAUCGGAAUCUACUUUUUCGUGGGGGAUAACGUAGGGAAACUUACGCUAAUACCGCAUACGACCUACGGGUGAAAGCAGGGGAUCUUCGGACCUUGCGCGAUUGAAUGAGCCGAUGUCGGAUUAGCUAGUUGGCGGGGUAAAGGCCCACCAAGGGGACGAUCCGUAGCUGGUCUGAGAGGAUGAUCCGCCCCACUGGAACUGGGCCACGGUCCAGACUCCUACGGGAGGCAGCGGUGGGGAAUAUUGGACAAUGGGCGCAAGCCUGAUCCAACCAUACCGCGUGGGUGAAGCAGGCCUUCGGGUUGUAAAGCCCUUUUGUUGGGAAAGAAAAGCAGCAGGUUAAUACCCCGCUGUUCUGACGGUACCCAAAGAAUAAGCACCGGCUAACUUCGUG
rnacentral:rRNA from 1 species